rnacentral:rRNA from 1 species
UACGUAGGGUGCAAGCGUUAAUCGGAAUUACUGGGCGUAAAGCGUGCGCAGGCGGUUUUGUAAGUCUGUUGUGAAAGCCCCGGGCUUAACCUGAAAUGCGAUGGAGACUGCAAGGCUUGAAUCUGGCAGAGGGGGGUAGAAUUCCACGUGUAGCAGUGAAAUGCGUAGAGAUGUGGAGGAACACCGAUGGCGAAGGCAGCCCCCUGGGUCAAGAUUGACGCUCAUGCACGAAAGCGUGGGGAGCAAACAGG